rnacentral:lncRNA from 1 species
GAGGCCGAGCUGUUCACGGUGAUGGUGGGCAUACCCAUGCUGCUCAACGUGGGGCAGGCCUGGAUCCAGGACCAGGUGAGGGGCUGGGGGAGGGGAGGGGAGGGGAGGGGAGGGGAGGGGAGGGGAGGGGAGGGGAGGGGAGGGGAGGGGAGGGGAAGCCAUCCAUGGGAUGGUGUGUAUCAAAUAUGAAGUGAAGUGCCGACGUCCAGAGGUACAGCGGGCACACGCGACGCAUUCCAUACCGUUGUUUCGCCAGCGGCAGGCUGCUGGUUCCCCCGUGUUUCCGUGGCGGCUAACGCUAAAAUACUAAGUUCCUAUUGAAAGCAAGUAGUCUGGAGUAGUAGUGGUGAUAAGUAAGGCUCGUUGGUAAAGAAGCUGAGUGCAUGCGUCUAGGUGGCUAGCUUAGCUGCUGCGGCGCGAAACCGGGACCCCGCGAACUCACCUAAUCGCUCAGCAAUGCAAGCCACGCCAGAGCCGCGCGCGCAGGGGGAAGCACACACAGGAAAUGGGCGAGCAGCAGUAAGGCGUGGCGGACUCAAACGGCAAACAGGCGGCACAGACAUACAAGCAAACGUGCAAUGCGAGUAGUAGUGAGAGCCAAAGUAAAAACGUAAAAAAACGGCACGACCACGCGAACAAGCAUAAAAGCAAGGGCAGCCCAAAAACGCAAUGGGGUCCACACGAUGCCCGGAGCACACGCACACACACUCACGCAGACACACACGCAAAGCCCCGACAACCAACAACGGCGGGGGAGGAAAGGGGAGGGGAGGGGAGGGGAGGGGAGGGGAGGGGAGGAAGGGGGGUUACAGAGGAAGG